CUCUUGUGUGGUGGUGGUGGCGGCCUCACUGCAGUACCUGAUGCAGCCCCGACCCUCACAG
ensembl:miRNA Mir7044 microRNA 7044